AGCGAACGCUGGCGGCAGGCCUAACACAUGCAAGUCGAACGAACCUUUCGGGGUUAGUGGCGGACGGGUGAGUAACACGUGGGAACGUGCCUUUAGGUUCGGAAUAACUCAGGGAAACUUGUGCUAAUACCGAAUGUGCCCUUCGGGGGAAAGAUUUAUCGCCUUUAGAGCGGCCCGCGUCUGAUUAGCUAGUUGGUUGAGGUAAUGGCUCACCAAGGCGACGAUCAGUAGCUGGUCUGAGAGGAUGAUCAGCCACAUUGGAACUGAGACACGGCCCAAACUCCUACGGGAGGCAGCAGUGGGGAAUCUUGCGCAAUGGGCGAAAGCCUGACGCAGCCAUGCCGCGUGAAUGAUGAAGGUCUUAGGAUUGUAAAAUUCUUUCACCGGGGACGAUAAUGACGGUACCCGGAGAAGAAGCCCCGGCUAACUUCGU
rnacentral:rRNA from 1 species